GGGUCUGUAGCUCAGCUAGGUAGAGCAUCUGGCUUUUAACCAGGUGGUCAAGGGUUCGAAUCCCUUCAGACCCG
rnacentral:tRNA from 1 species